AGUGAACGCUGGCGGUAGGCCUAACACAUGCAAGUCGAACGGCAGCACAGUAAGAGCUUGCUCUUACGGGUGGCGAGUGGCGGACGGGUGAGGAAUACAUCGGAAUCUACAUUUUCGUGGGGGAUAACGUCGGGAAACUUACGCUAAUACCGCAUACGACCUACGGGUGAAAGCAGGGGAUCUUCGGACCUUGCGCGAUUGAAUGAGCCGAUGUCGGAUUAGCUAGUUGGCGGGGUAAAGGCCCACCAAGGCGACGAUCCGUAGCUGGUCUGAGAGGAUGGUCAGCCACACUGGAACUGAGACACGGUCCAGACUCCUACGGGAGGCAGCAGUGGGGAAUGUUGGACAAUGGGCGCAAGCCUGAUCCAGCCAUACCGCGUGGGGGAAGAAGGCCUUCGGGUUGUAGAGCCCUUUUGUUGGGAAAGAAAAGCAGCAGGUUAAUACCCCGCUGUUCUGACGGUACCCAAAGAAUAAGCACCGGCUAACUUCGUG
rnacentral:rRNA from 1 species